CAGUUAAAUAGCAGAUUUGGUGUACUCAAGUUUGAGUGAUUAGUUUCUCUUCCGGAUUGUGUUGUAUAAUUGUUAGCUGAAAACAGAUAGCAGAAAAGAUUUUGUGAUGAUAAAUACAAGUCAAACAUGGAAAGAAAAUGAAAUUCUUGUAGUAUUAGUUAUGAUUCGGCAUGAAUUAACCAGAUUGUUACAGUCGAUGGCAUUAAACAAUUAUUUAAUAGCUUCAACAGUAACAUUAUUCGGAACACUGCAUAGUCGAUCACUUUGAAUAAUUAUUCGAUAUUCCAACGUAGUAUACAUGCUUGCCAUGAUUU
rnacentral:lncRNA from 1 species